rnacentral:sRNA from 1 species
UUUAUUCGCUGAAUCUUUAUUGAGCGGGGGAACCAAUUCGAUAGCCUUGACUAUCUUGGGGUGAGUCUUACUUAGUAAGAGGGGAUACUCUCAGUCCCUAAUCCGACAGCUAACCUCGUAAGCGUUAC